GGGGCUGGGCUCAGUGGCAGAGUGCCCACCUCGCACAUGUGAGGCCCUGGGUUCAAUCCUCAGUGCCACA
rnacentral:tRNA from 1 species